GAAAUGCUGGCUCUCAGUGAUGCUUAGACGGAAAACCACGCACCCCACACAGAGGUUGGAACCACCCAUUCCCAGGUUGUCCUGAGGAGCCAUGAUUUUUCCAGGAGCUGGGUAAAGGGCACCAGGAUCAGCCUCUCAAAGGAUUCCAGCUGGCUGUUCCAAUCCAGGAGGAAAGCUGUGCCAUCGAAGUCUCCCAGCACCUGUGCAGUGAAGUGCCACUUAACCCCGCUGUGAUGCACAGACCUUGCCCCGGCUGUCUGCACAGGGCUGAAUUUCACCCCUUCUGAGUGUAUUCUAAGGGCCCCCCGUACAAGUUCCCCAACCCACCACCCUUUCUUUAAUCAUAAUAAUAUAAUUCAUAAUAAAUGACUAUUCAUCAGAAGAAAGAAAGAACGUCCUAGUUCUUACAUCUCCUGCUUUCUUUGCAUGUGUCAGUCUUCCUUAGAUCAUAGGGGCUUUGUAUUAGGGAGUGUCCUUACUUUCUCUGUCUUGUAAAGCGCACACUAGUGACACUGACCAGAUAAAUAAUGGAGACAUCGCACACACAAAAAAAUAACCAAGCCCUUUGUUAUGGAGACUGUUCUCCUCAGUAAAGCAAGCUAUAAAUAUUAGGAAAUGCACAAGGACUAAAAAGCUGCAAAGUGAAGCACUCUCAAGUUAGGAAAUACCAGAAUAAGCAUUGCCUGUGCAAAGUUAACUCUGCAAGAAAUGAGGCAGGGAUCCUACAGGCAAAAGACUCCUUCAAUACACAGCCCCAGAGCAGAAAGCCCUCUGUGCUGAAUAAGGAAGGGGUUCUGUGGGAAAAAAAUACUAUGGGAUCAUGUCAUUAAAGUCUGCAUCAUCCUGCAAAUGCAGAAGAGGGCUGAAUUGAGGGUGCCAGGGCCAGGGCCGUCCUUAGGAUUUCUGGUGCCCUAGGCGAGAUUAUUAAACUGGUGCCCCUGUGCCUGAUCUGCUCUUA